rnacentral:rRNA from 1 species
CCUACGGGAGGCAGCAGUGGGGAAUUUUGGACAAUGGGGGCAACCCUGAUCCAGCAAUGCCGCGUGAGUGAAGAAGGCCUUCGGGUUGUAAAGCUCUUUUGUCAGGGAAGAAACGGUGUUUCCUAAUACGGAAUGCUAAUGACGGUACCUGAAGAAUAAGCACCGGCUAACUACGUGCCAGCAGCCGCGGUAAUACGUAGGGUGCAAGCGUUAAUCGGAAUUACUGGGCGUAAAGCGUGCGCAGGCGGUUUUAUAAGUCUGAUGUGAAAUCCCCGGGCUCAACCUGGGAACUGCAUUGGAGACUGUAAGGCUAGAGUGUGUCAGAGGGGGGUAGAAUUCCACGUGUAGCAGUGAAAUGCGUAGAUAUGUGGAGGAAUACCGAUGGCGAAGGCAGCCCCCUGGGAUAACACUGACGCUCAUGCACGAAAGCGUGGGGAGCAAACAGGAUUAGAUACCCUGGUAGUCCACGCCCUAAACGAUGUCUACUAGUUGUCGGGUCUUAAUUGACUUGGUAACGCAGCUAACGCGUGAAGUAGACCGCCUGGGGAGUACGGUCGCAAGNUUAAAACUUCAAAUGAAUUGACGGNUUGNGNGNGCGAGCGACGACGAGGAGAGG